rnacentral:rRNA from 1 species
AGUGAACGCUGGCGGUAGGCCUAACACAUGCAAGUCGAACGGCAGCACAGUAAGGGCUUGCUCUUACGGGUGGCGAGUGGCGGACGGGUGAGGAAUACAUCGGAAUCUACUUUUUCGUGGGGGAUAACGUAGGGAAACUUACGCUAAUACCGCAUACGACCUACGGGUGAAAGCAGGGGAUCUUCGGACCUUGCGCGAUUGAAUGAGCCGAUGUCGGAUUAGCUAGUUGGCGGGGUAAAGGCCCACCAAGGCGACGAUCCGUAGCUGGUCUGAGAGGAUGAUCAGCCACACUGGAACUGAGACACGGUCCAGACUCCUACGGGAGGCAGCAGUGGGGAAUAUUGGACAAUGGGCCCAAGCCUGAUCCAGCCAUACCGCGUGGGUGAAGAAGGCCUUCGGGUUGUAAAGCCCUUUUGUUGGGAAAGAAAAGCAGCAGGUUAAUACCCCGCUGUUCUGACGGUACCCAAAGAAUAAGCACCGGCUAACUUCGUG